CAGAAAUCUACCAGAUGACUCCAUCUUCAAGACUGCCAGGGCUGCUCACUGUGAAUUUGAUCACAGAAGUGUUUUCUGUUUCCAGGACCUCACCUUCAUGCAAACGGAAAUAAAAGCUCUUGGGUAGAGAUGGAUGAUAACCCACCAAGCAUUUGUGUUCUCCUUGCGUGAUCUGGAGCGGCUGCUUGGGGAUUUUCCUGAAACUCGACUCUUGCAGAGCUUCCUAAGAUAACAAGAAGUACAGCCUCAGUUAGAACUCCGCAAUGCAUUCUAGAAGAGAACUCAUCUGGAUUCCCUUCACCAGGUAGCAAAUGUAGCUCUCAGCCAAAAACACUGCUUCUGACUGCCAAGGACCCACACAUUAUCCAGAAUAUUCAG